AUUGAACGCUGGCGGCAGGCCUAACACAUGCAAGUCGAGCGAGCGGCGGACGGGUGAGUAAUGUAUGGGGACUGCCCGAUAGAGGGGGAUAACUACUGGAAACGGUAGCUACUACCGCAUACUAUCGGAUAACCCAUAUGUGAUUAGCUAGUAGGUGAGGUACUGGCUCACCUAGGAGACGAUCCCUAGCUGUUCCGAGAGGAUGAUCAGCGAAACUGGGACUGAGACACGGCCCAGACUCCUACGGAGGCAGCGGUGGGAAAUAUUGCACAAUGGGCGCAAGCCUGAUACAGCCAUGCCGCGUGUAUGAAGAAGGCCCUCGGGUUGUAAAGUACGUUCAGUCGGGAGGCGUUACCGACAGAAGAAGCACCGGCUAACUCCGUGCCAGCAGCCGCGGUAAUUC
rnacentral:rRNA from 1 species